UAAUGAUGGAAAGUAUCCGAAGCUGCUGCAUGGCCUCUUGAGAGGCACUAUAAGCAUAUCCCUUGCGCAACUGAAAAAUCUCUCCUAUUUCAAUGGCUUCUACCUGCUCUUCGCUCACCGCCUCCACCUCCUCCUCCCCCUAUGGAUUCCGAACUUCCGCCACCGUCAACCCCCUGUCCCUCGGCGCUCUCUCUUCUCCGAUAGCGCACCCUAAACCCAGGCCGUCGCGCCUGGCCCUUUCUCUUCCCCGGCGGCUCUUCUUGCCGUCGGCGUCGGCCAUCUGGGACGCCUUGACCGGCGGCAACCGCGCGCGCGACGCCUCCCUCGCCGUCCGCCGGGGCAUGCUGCUCUUCCGGCAGGGAGAUGUUGCUGGGUCGCUGGCGGAGUUCGAUCGAGCCAUUGAGUUAGAUCCUCGCCAGAAGGCAUCUCUGAUUGGACCUGUUUCAGAUCUUUGGCAGAGAGGGUUGUCUCUCUAUUAUCUGAAUAGAUUCGAAGAAGGUGCGGAGCAGUUCAGAUUGGAUGUUGCUGCAAACCCAAAUGAUACAGAGGAAUCUAUAUGGUGCUUUCUUUGUGAAGCUCAAUUAUAUGGAGUGGAGGAAGCUAGGAAGCGAUUCUUGGAGGUUGGUCAAGAUCCACGGCCUGUAAUGCGUCAAGCCUAUAACCUCUUUAAAGAUGGUGGGGACCCCAAGAAGCUUGUUACAACCUUCUCGAACGGACAAGAGAAUGAAUGCUUCUAUGCUUCUUUAUAUGCUGGCCUUUUUAAUGAAUCUCAGGAUACAAAGAUACUUCAAGGAGAUUCAUUCAGUGGGUUUCCUGCUUGCUUGGCUUGCAUCCCAAAGAAAUUAGCUCAAUAUAAUCCACCAUGUUUGCUUCUUCUUUUUUUCUCCUUCCCAUCUUUUCAAGGUGGCAAGGGUUCGAAGAGCAUCGGCCAUGUGUCUUCCAUAUGACCUUUUUCUCUUAGGUGGGGUCCUUGAUGAGAAAUAACUCAAAGGAAGACAUAGCCAUCAGACCUUGCACAGGAAGAAUGAUAUGGAUGCAGCGAAACUCAAUAUUCUUGCAGCAUGUCAGUCUCCAUAUGGAUCCAGGUCUGAUGAUUAUAUGGCUUCCCUUGCAAAGGUUCACUGCCUUUGCCGUAAUUGGAGCUUCAGCUAACUUACUGCUCAAUGAAUUUAGUUGGCAUCAUCCUGUUAAUGCCUUCAGGCUUGCACAAUCGUUGCUUCAGGUGGGAAUCCCUGCAGGACCUGACCAGAAACUAAGAGAUGUUCACAGGACGCACCAUAUCCUGAACAUUUGUUCAAAUGGGGGAACAUUAUUAAUUAACCGCCAUAAGUAUUAUUGGGUGAUUUGUUAGGGCCACAAGCACAAGCGCCCAUGCAUGCAAAAGGUGAUAAAUAACAAUCUUGGGUUUGAUCUUCUUAUAUAUGUGUAUGUUCAUAAUCUUUUUUUUGGGCAAUUA